CAGCAUCCUUUUAAUUCAUCAAACAUACAACACAUGGCGGUGUUUGCUGCAAUCAGGGGACAGCACCUUUGUGUGCCUGACCCCUGGCACUGCUGCAGGAGACGAGGGAAACUUCAGAGUGCCGUGCAGACAGCAGAAACACACGCAUCCACGCCUACAUUGACUCAGCGGUGGGGAGGCCCCUCCAAAAAACUUGGCUGGCCACAGUGAGCGGGGUUAUUCCUGUAUCACUCAGAGCGGGUGGCUCCGGAGCGCUGCAGCGGUGAAGACGCCCUGGAUCCCAGCAAAGCCUCCCCGAUAAUGGGGCAGCAGCAGACAGCCAAGCAUCACCCUGCUUUGGUAAUGGACCUCUGAAAGCAUUCUGAAUGCUCCCAGGCCAGCAAAGCAGAUGCGAAAAACAAAGUUUUAAUCUGUGAAUGCAUACAACAGCUAUAGCUUCCAUAUCUGUCUCACUUAUAUUUCUAUAUCAGCUUAAGUAAUGCUAUAUGUUCUUCAUGUCCCUUUUCUCCCCAUAUUUACCUGCUCAUAAAUCUGUUUUCCUGCCACAUAUGCCUCCUGCUCACUGCAUCCUUAGAGAUGCAGAAUGUCCUAAGUGUCCUUGCUACCUUGCAGAUCAGAUACCAAAUUAUUUAUUCAUAAACAAGCUCUGUGUUUCUAACCUCCUUGUAAUAAUGGUGUUAUACAAUCAUUGGCUAUACUGCAUGAUAUGGGCAAACAAAACCAAAAACCUCAACAUCUGAAUGCACUGGGAAUCUCAAUGUUCAGAAGCGCUGGCUUUUUUGACAAAAAUAUUUAUUCCUCUCAACUGAAAAAGCAUUACCCUGGUGGACACCUUUUAAUGGUUAUUUUACCUCAUACAGGCUGACUGAAGACAUUUGCAAGUUUCUCACAAUUUACCAAAAUCCCUCUUCUAAAGAUGCAGAAAUUGGUAUUUUACUUUAUUCUGGCUAUGCCGUUUUGUUUCACUGGGGGGUGGCAGCCCAGAAUCAUGUCUCUGCCCAGAAAUCUCUAAGGUGUCAGUCAGCAGCUUCCAACUGAGAUUUGCCAUGAGUCUAAAGGAACGUGGACCUUUCCUGGUUCUUUAAAUCCAAUUUCAUUGUCAUAAUUUUAUCAGUUUCCAUGCUGAAAGGGAAACAAACAACCAGGGAGCCCAAUGCUGAUGGAGCUACUGGGGGACACCAAGAGCACAAACUCAGCCAGGCCUGGCCCUUCCCCUGUCAGCAGCCCCUCUAUUCUUUGCCCCACUCAUUUGCACAUUAUCUGGAGCUUAAAGACUUAUGAUGGUGGGCCACAUAAAACACAGAUGUCCUGUGUGCUAUUCUCUCUCUCAGCAAUUUUACCCCAUCAGAUACCCUACAGCAUGCCGAAUUUGCAAGGUUCAUUCUCCAGAGUUGGGAGCUCAGAUGAAGAGGGGAGACAGAAGGUGAGAACAUUGACUCUCCUGGCUAGGAGCUGUCACCAUCUUUGUUAGUCGUAUGAGUUCCCCCAAAGCUAAGGGAACCUGAUUGUCUGAAGUUACUUUGGCUCUUUGACCAUUAAAUACCCAUUUGGAUGCUGCCUGAGCUUUGUUGGCCAGAUCCCAUGGAGGGAGACCUCUUGCCAGCUGCCACUAGCAGAGCUCCUUGCCAUCCUACCCAUGCUGGAAACUGAACUGAAUCGAAGCCACUGGGUGUCAAAGUGAGCUACAGAAGAAUCUGUCCCCUCAAAGAAAUUUUCAUAAAGCAAAAUUCAUAUUCUUGCUAACAAAACACUUGUCAACAGUAAAUUAGUGUUUAUUUAUUUGUUGAAUGCACACAGCUUUUUACUUUAUUUUUUUUUUUUUCAUUACAGAAUCUUGGGCUAAACAAUUUAGAUCCUGCAUUAUCUCAAUGUCAAUAAGUAUCAUUUUUUUUCCUAAAGAAAAAGCAUGCCAUAUUGCAGACAACCUAAAGUCAUAACUCAAGACAACACAAUCAUGUCAUAAUAUAAUUUUAUACAAUGAGAUUGUAUCUGUUGUUAUUGAGGGUCAUUGAAUUCCGUCUGUCAGUGUUAUUUUAUUGAAUAGGUUCAAGUAAUAGUUUGUGCUGAUUAUCAGAAAGUAUGUUUAAAAACUGUCACUGUGUUUAUAUCCUUCAGGGUUGCAUUUAAAUUAUGUAGAUAAACAGGAUCAAGCAGUGUGUACUGCAAUGAAGUACAGUCCUUGAUAGAAAUUUCAGAAUAAAAUUUAUGUGAAAAUU